rnacentral:rRNA from 1 species
AGAGUUUGAUCCUGGCUCAGAUUGAACGCUGGCGGCAUGCCUUACACAUGCAAGUCGAACGGUAACGCGGGGCAACCUGGCGACGAGUGGCGAACGGGUGAGUAAUGCAUCGGAACGUGCCCAGUAGUGGGGGAUAGCCCGGCGAAAGCCGGAUUAAUACCGCAUACGACCUACGGGUGAAAGGGGGGGAUCGCAAGACCUCUCGCUAUUGGAGCGGCCGAUGUCAGAUUAGGUAGUUGGUGGGGUAAAGGCUCACCAAGCCGACGAUCUGUAGCUGGUCUGAGAGGACGACCAGCCACACUGGGACUGAGACACGGCCCAGACUCCUACGGGAGGCAGCAGUGGGGAAUUUUGGACAAUGGGCGCAAGCCUGAUCCAGCCAUGCCGCGUGAGUGAUGAAGGUCUUAGGAUUGUAAAGCUCUUUCACCGAUGAAGAUAAUGACGGUAGUCGGAGAAGAAGCCCCGGCUAACUUCGUGCCAGCAGCCGCGGUAAUACGAAGGGGGCUAGCGUUGUUCGGAAUUACUGGGCGUAAAGCGCACGUAGGCGGAUAUUUAAGUCAGGGGUGAAAUCCCGCAGCUCAACUGCGGAACUGCCUUUGAUACUGGGUAUCUCGAGUAUGGAAGAAGUGAGUGGAAUUNCNAGUGUAGAGGUGAAAUUCGUAGAUAUUCGGAGGAACACCANUGGCGAANGCGGNUUACUUGGUCCAUUACUUGACCCUGAGGUGCCAAAGCGUGGGGAGCAAACAGGAUUAAAUACCCUGUAGUCCACCCGUAA